CGGAAGGGCCGUAUUUAUUAGAUAACAGACCAAUAUUCCCUGGUGUCUAUUGUGGUGACUCAUAGUAACUGAUCGGAUCGCACGGGCGUGCCCGCGACAAACCAUUCAAGUUUCUGCCCCAUCAGCUUUCGAUGGUAGUGUAUUGGACUACCAUGGCUUUUACGGGUAACGGAGGAUUAGGGUUCGAUUCCGGAGAGGGAGCCUGAGAAACGGCUACCACAUCUAAGGAAGGCAGCAGGCGCGUAAAUUACCCAAUCCUGACUCAGGGAGGUAGUG
rnacentral:rRNA from 1 species